GGGAAGGUGCAUGGGAGGUGACGCAUCCUAUAGAGGAAGAAGCCAGAAAUAUCCCGGCCCUUCAUGGAUCUGGCCACUGGCUCCAGGACCCUACCCUCCUUUCCAGACACACAUCCUUUGGGUGGACCCUAAGAAGGAGUCGAGAAGAUUUGUUUGUUUCCCUGCCCCACAUCACUGUGUGAACACUGAACUUUACUUUGGAGAAGGCACCAGGCUCACAGUUAUAGAGAAUCUGGAAAAGGUCAAACCUCCCACGGUCACAGUGUUUGAACCGUCGGAAGCAGAGACCUCCCGAACCCAGAAGGCCACACUCGUGUGCCUGGCCACCGGCUUCUACCCCGACCACGUGGAGCUGAGCUGGUGGGUGAAUGGGAAGGAAGUCCAGAAUGGGGUCAGCACGGACCCUCAGCCCUACAAGGAGCGGCUGGAUGAGAAUGACUCCAGCUACUGUCUGAGCAGCCGGCUGAGGGUGUCCUCUGCCUUCUGGCACAACCCUCGCAACCACUUUCGCUGCCAAGUCCAGUUCCACGGGCUCGGGGACGCUGACGAGUGGCAGAACAGCCAACGGACCAAACCCGUCACCCAGAACAUCAGUGCCGAGGCCUGGGGCAGAGCAGACUGUGGCUUCACUUCGGUGUCCUAUCAGCAGGGCAUCCUGUCUGCCACCAUCCUCUAUGAGAUCCUGCUGGGGAAGGCCACCCUGUACGCGUUGCUGGUCGGUGCCCUGGUGCUGAUGGCCAAGGUCAAGAGAAAGGGUUCCUGAAACUACCUCAGAGGCAGAGGCGGGAGCUUCCAGCUUGCUAUUGCCCAGUAUGGAUUCUCCUUUUUCGACUUCUAGCCAGUGCUUCUCAAGAGCUGUUUUCAUCUCUCCGCUCACCCCAAUAAUUACCCACUAUGCUCCUGAACACCUGGACGCUGAUAACCCAAAUCUCCCUAACCCAGGGGAACCGCUAGUGUGACUAAAUUGACUGUUGACUGAAUCAAUAAAAAUGAUGUGUUCUGGCUUGA